GAGUUUGAUCCUGGCUCAGAACGUACGCUGGCGGCACGCCUAACACAUGCAAGUCGAACGAAGUAGCAAUACUUAGUGGCAGACGGGUGAGUAACAUGUAGGUAUCUGCCCUUUGGCCUGGAAUAACACGAGGAAACUUGUGCUAAUACCGGAUAAGUCUUUACAGAGAAAGCUUUAUGCACCAUUGGAUGAGCCUGCACUUGAUUAGUUUGUUGGUGGGGUAAUGGCCUACCAAGACUGUGAUCAAUAGCUGAUUUGAGAGGAUGAUCAGCCACAUUGGGACUGAGACACGGCCCAAACUCCUACGGGAGGCGGCAGUGGGGAAUCUUGCACAAUGGAGGAAACUCUGAUGCAGCGAUGCCGCGUGAGUGAAGAAGGCCCUUGGGUUGUAAAGCUCUUUCGUCGGGGAAGAAAAUGACUGUACCCGAAUAAGAAGGUCCGGCUAACUUCGUGCCAGCAGCCGCGGUAAUACGAAGGGACCUAGCGUAGUUCGGAAUUACUGGGCUUAAAGAGUUCGUAGGUGGUUGAAAAAGUUAGUGGUGAAAUCCCAGAGCUUAACUCUGGAACUGCCAUUAAAACUUUUCAGCUAGAGUAUGAUAGAGGAAAGCAGAAUUUCUAGUGUAGAGGUGAAAUUCGUAGAUAUUAGAAAGAAUACCAAUUGCGAAGGCAGCUUUCUGGAUCAUUACUGACACUGAGGAACGAAAGCAUGGGUAGCGAAGAGGAUUAGAUACCCUCGUAGUCCAUGCCGUAAACGAUGUGUGUUAGACGUUGGAAAUUUAUUUUCAGUGUCGCAGGGAAACCGAUAAACACACCGCCUGGGGAGUACGACCGCAAGGUUAAAACUCAAAUGAAUUGACGGGGACCCGCACAAGUAGUGGAGCAUGUGGUUUAAUUCGAAGAUACGCGCAGAACCUUACCAACACUUGACAUGUUCGUCGCGACUCUAAGAGAUUAGAGUUUUCGGUUCGGCCGGACGAAACACAGGUGCUGCAUGGCUGUCGUCAGCUCGUGUCGUGAGAUGUUGGGUUAAGUCCCGCAACGAGCGCAACCCUCACUUUUAGUUGCCAUCAUUAAGUUGGGCACUCUGAAAGAACUGCCAGUGAUAAGCUGGAGGAAGGUGGGGAUGACGUCAAGUCCUCAUGGCCCUUACGUGUUGGGCUACACACGUGCUACAAUGGUAUCUACGACAGGAAGCAAAACCGCGAGGUUAAGCAAAUCCCUAAAAGAUACCUCAGUUCGGAUUGCACUCUGCAACUCGAGUGCAUGAAGCUGGAAUUACUAGUAAUCGUGGAUCAGCGUGCCACGGUGAAUGCGUUCCCGGGUCUUGCACUCACCGCCCGUC
rnacentral:rRNA from 1 species